CCUACGGGUGGCAGCAGUGGGGAAUAUUGCGCAAUGAGCGAAAGCCUGACGCAGCGACGCCGCGUGAGGGAUGAAGGUCUUCGGAUCGUAAACCUCUGUCAGCAGGGAAGAACGGUCACUGUGCUAAUCAGCAGUGAAUUGACGGUACCUGCAAAGGCAGCACCGGCUAACUCCGUGCCAGCAGCCGCGGUAAUACGGAGGGUGCGAGCGUUAAUCGGAAUUACUGGGCGUAAAGCGCUCGUAGGCGGUAUGUCAAGUCAAGGGUGAAAUCCCCGCGCUCAACGUGGGAACUGCCUUUGAAACUGGCAAACUGGAGUGUGUGAGAGGAUAGUGGAAUGCCAGGUGUAGGAGUGAAAUCCGUAGAUAUCGGGAGGAACAUCAGUGGUGAAGGCGACUAUCUGGAACAUAACUGACGCUGAGGAGCGAAAGCGUGGGUAGCAAACAGGAUUAGAUACCCCAGUAGUC
rnacentral:rRNA from 1 species